CUAGACGAGUAGAAGAUCUGGGCAGCAACCUCCGGGAAAACAUCUGGAGGGCCUGGUUAAUUUCACAUAUGACACUUGGUCAUAAAAGUUAUUAAAAAACAACUUUUUCUGUUUAUCCAUUUUUUUAACCAAAAAAUUUUAACCAAAAUAACCUUAAUUUAGUCCUCCAGUAAAAAAACUUUUAGAACCCCUGCACUAUUGCCUAACUAUGUACCCACAAGGGCGUCCAAGUCUCCCUGUGCCGGUCCCCAGCCCGGCUAGAAUACAGCUUUAUGUCAGGAAGGGCAUCCGGUUAAAAUCUGCCUGCCAAACCACCUGUGUGAAAAGUGAAAGCUAAUUUGCUGUGGCGACCCCUAAAGGGACAGGCCAAUAGAGGAACAACAACUACUCUAUUUUAGCCUCAGUCAAGACAGAUUUCCUCUGCCUAUAUCAGAUACAAAGUGGAAUGGAAAGGUUUGCUGGGUUAAGAGUGAAUGGAUCAGCCUUUAGGUCUUUUUAUAACAUUAGUGUUAAGGCUGACUUAAACACAUUCUCGCCAUGUUAAGCAACUGGUGUUUUAAGUGACCCUAAAAUAACAGGAAAUUGUUGAAAAACUGCAUAAUAGUCUUGUUCUAUAAUUCAGUUAAACAGUUCAGUCUCUGCAUGUGCAGAGCAGCAUUUGUCAAACACACAGCAUACGCUGCCACAAAAACCAGUGAAUUUCUCUCAUUCAAACAUGACAGUCUCGAUUGUCUUUAGUGAUUUCAGAGAGGUUUAUAUUUUGAGGGCUGACUUGAGGUCACCAAGGUUCCUCUUAGUGGAGAGGAAGUGUGGAACAGUGGUCUAAACACAAAACAUGACAGUUCUUCUUUUCACAUGACCACAAAUAAAAGAUUUUUUUUUUCUUGCAACCAUAUUUUUUUAAAUGAAACUCAAGAUAUUAACAGGAAACAGCAUAGCUAAUUUUAUGUAAACUGCUAAAACCUGGUCUUUUAAAGAUGGAAUUUCUCAUUAUUGUUGAUUAAACAUACUUGUUGCGUAAAGAUCCACAUUGGAUUAAAAGAUUACUAGCAACCAGGGUUCAAAUGUCAAUCCAGUUCCUCCACGCACCAACCUUAUGGGCUGCCUUAAGACGCUCACUGUUACUUAAUUAUGGAAGAGUAAUCAAAGUUCCAUGCCAAACAUUCCAUUCUGGCAAGUUUAAACUAUGAUAAAAUUUCAUUUUUACUGAAUAUGAUGUUCCAUAAAAAAACUUUAGAAUGAUUUACAAAUGUAAUAUCUAUACAUAUUGCUACCUCAGGAUAUUUAAACCUCAGUAAUGUUUCUGAAAUAACGAACCAAUACAACCUUAUUUUAACAUUAAAACUCAAAAGAUGAGAAUAUUUAUUCCAUAUGAGGUAUUUGAACAGACAUACGCCUCGGCUACUUCCUUAGCGUCUGCAUGAGAAGACAGGAAAGUGAAACUUGCUGAGCAGAAUUCUGCAACAAACUGUAUAAUGCUACAUUUUGCAAUGUGGGGAGGCUCAAACGUUGUCACAAAAUAGUCUUUUCUGCAGCUUUAUCUCUACAAGCAUACGUUAAACCAUGACACGUGAACAACAGGACAUAGUUUGGACAGUUUUUGCCUAAGUUUGUUAAUAAUAAUAAUAAUAAUAAUAGGUUCUCAAGGCAUUUCAACACAUAUAUAUGUGCACACACAGUAUAGGCUAUUGGCUAUUUGGUUUUCUUGCAGUCAAAUACCAUGAUGGCACACUACUCAAAGGUGAUUGAAAACAGAGGUUGAUAAGUUCUCACAAAGGUGCUGGAAGGUGAGCAUUGAUUAUCCCUGCACACAAUCUUUUGCACUCCAGAAGUUGUUUUCAUUUGAUCCAUGGCGCUUGACUUACGAGGAUGCAUCUUUAAAUCCCAAAAAGGAAGCUACUGUCACGGUGCCUGUCAGUUCACCUCCCCCCCUCCUACAGCUCUCACCACCUUGCUGAUUGGAACCAGCUGAUCCUCAUCUUCUCAUCAUCCUGCCGGUCUUCAUAAGGGAGCUCUCACCAGAAUUCUACGCCAGUUUGUUAUACUCACUCCGGUUCCUACCUUGGUCACGCUGGUUCCUCCCCUCCACGCUGGUCCUGCCGUCCUCGGCAUCCACGCCUCAUUCCAAGCUGGUUUCCGCCGUCCUCGGCGUCCACGCCUUACCUCAAGCCGGUCCCGCUGUCCUCAGCGCCCAAGCCUCGCUCCCUCUGGAUCCACAGUUCGACGCGUCCUCGUGUCGCCCCCUCCCCUUCAUCUGCAUCAGCUCAAAGGAAACACCAAGUUCAAUCCACGGAGGAAAUACGUCCACAUCCCCUCAGAAACUUAUUUACCUCUAAAAUAAAUCCAUUUAAAGUCA